AUUGAACGCUGGCUGCAGGCCUAACACAUGCAAGUCGAACGAGUGGCGGACGGGUGAGUAAUGUCUGGACAAAUGCCCGAUGGCGGGGGAUAACUACUGGAAACGGUAGCUAAUACCGCAUACCAUCGGAUGUGCCCAGAUGGGAUUAGCUAGUAGGUGGGGUAACGGCUAACCUAGGCGACGAUCCCUAGCUGGUCUGAUAGGAUGACCAGCCACACUGGAACGGAGACACGGUCCAGUCUCCUACGGGAGGCAGCAGUGGGGAAUAGUGCACAAUGGGCGCAAGCCUGAUGCAGCCAUGCCGCGUGGAUGAAGAAGGCCUGCGGUUUGUAAAGUACUUUCAGCGAGGAGGCGUUACUCGCAGAAGAAGCACCGGCUAACUCCGUGCCAGCAGCCGCGGUAAUUC
rnacentral:rRNA from 1 species